rnacentral:rRNA from 1 species
GAUGAACGCUAGCUACAGGCUUAACACAUGCAAGUCGAGGGGUAACGAGAGGAAAGCUUGCUUUCCUUGUCGACGACCGGCGCACGGGUGAGUAACGCGUAUCCAACCUGCCCCCAACUAGGGAAUAACCUUGCGAAAGUAAGACUAAUACCCUAUAAUUUCCUCAGAUGUCAUCUGACGAGGAAUAAAGAUUUAUCGGUUGUGGAUGGGGAUGCGUCUGAUUAGCUUGUUGGCGGGGUAACGGCCCACCAAGGCAACGAUCAGUAGGGGUUCUGAGAGGAAGGUCCCCCACAUUGGAAAUGAGACACGGUCCAAACUCCUACGGGAGGCAGCAGUGAGGAAUAUUGGUCAAUGGGCGGAAGCCUGAACCAGCCAAGUAGCGUUCAGGAUGACGGCCCUAUGGGUUGUAAACUGCUUUUAUACAGGAAUAAAGUUAGCCACGUGUGGUUAUUUGUAGGUACUGUAUGAAUAAGGACCGGCUAAUUCCGUGCCAGCAGCCGCGGUAA